rnacentral:lncRNA from 1 species
GCGAAUUCAACCGCGACAUCACAUCCGACACAACACCGAUAAGAUGGCCAUGCCGCAACCACUGUUACUGAUAAAGCAUACACUAUUCACUCAUCACACGCGACAUCAUGUACAGUGCUACUUGUCCUUGGGCACUAUUGUAUAAAGUGACCCAGGAAAGGCACUUUCUUGAAGAAGAGGUCACACCCUUGGCCAAGGGGACACACACCCACACACUCAUAUACAGCCACAAUACUCAAUCGGCCACAAGGCCAUUCAUGCCACACUCACACUCACCCACACUCACUCACAUAUGAAGCCGAGUAGAAGAUAAGUGUAGCCGGCUUCCCGACUCAUCCGAAUACAGCUUAAGGAGUGCUCUGUACUGCAAAAUAUAUUUCACAUAUAUUUAGACAUGCAAGAGUAAGAGUAUUAUCUCUUCGGAGAACUCCAAACCUGGGUAAAUCACCGCGUGCUAUUUGCCAAAUCCCGUCCCUUGAUCUUCAAAGCAAUCUUGCCCUCACCUCAAGCCACCCCGUGGCAUCCGUCGUCUCACGAACCCGCCCGCGAGAUAACCACGACAGUUGGCGCCCACCGUGGCUCAAGCUGCCACGGAACCGCGGUCCGGGCGGAACCAUCGUUGUCAUCAUCAACGCGGCAUCGUGCCGUCUCUCCGGUAGCGCUCGGGGGCUCGACAUCGACCCGCCCCCGGAGCAACCUCACGGGACGGCGCGCCCUCGGCGUCGGUGUUGCCUUCUUCGUCGCCAC